UACAACUUCUCAGGGGCUCACUUCGGCUGCAAACAAGCAAACGUGGAGAGACAGUUUGUGAACCUUCAUCUAGACUGUGAUCUACUAGCAAUAUGACUAAACCUGUGGUCCAGCAAAGUGUGGUCCAUGGACCAGUUUGAUCCACAAACUGCUUGUUACUGGUUCAUGACAAGGCUGCCUGUCUCCCUAUCUGAGCACUCCUGUGUCCUGGAUUCUCCCCUAACUGAGGCUUCUUCAAGCUGCUGGGGCCCUUCUGACUCUGCAUUAAAGUGCUCCGAUGGCAACUGCUGUGUAAGCCCCCAUCUGCCCCCUGCUACUGCUCCUCAGGGUGCCAUACUCUGCCCGCUUAGCUGGACUUUCUUCAAGCAC